CCUACGGGGGGCAGCAGUGGGGAAUAUUGGGCAAUGGGCGCAAGCCUGACCCAGCAACGCCGCGUGAAGGAAGAAGGCUUUCGGGUUUUAAACUUCUUUUAUGAGGGACGAAAGAAAUGACGGUACCUCAUGAAUAAGCCACGGCUAACUACGUGCCAGCAGCCGCGGUAAUACGUAGGUGGCAAGCGUUAGCCGGAUUUACUGGGUGUAAAGGGCGUGUAGGCGGGACUGCAAGUCAGAUGUGAAAUCCGGGGGCUCAACCCCCGAACUGCAUUUGAAACUGUUGGUCUUGAGUAUCGGAGAGGAAGGCGGAAUUCCUAGUGUAGCGGUGAAAUGCGUAGAUAUUAGGAGGAACACCAGUGGCGAAGGCGGCCUGCUGGACGACAACUGACGGUGAGGCGCGAAAGCGUGGGGAGCAAACAGGAUUAGAUACCCUUGUAGUC
rnacentral:rRNA from 1 species